UUUAAAGAAGUUGGAAGAGGUGAGAAACUCCAUCUGAUAAGAAAACAGAAUCUUUAAGAAGUGGACUUGCUGAUGGUCACAGGGCUAGCGAAAGCUUAUUUCUUUCUUUAGAGCUGCAACUACCUGAUUCCUUCACUGAGACAUGACCGUUUCCUGCUUUCUAAGUUCUUCCAUUUUCUGCCAUGAGUUGAAUAAUCCUGAGGACCUCGCUAGAUGCAGAUGCCCAAUUUUGAACUUUCCAGCUACCAGAAUUAAUAUUGGAUCAAGAGCAUACCUUGCCUUCCUUUCCCAGUUACUUCACUGUUAAUGUUCUUAUAACUCUCAGAAAGUCACACACAGAUUCUGUGAAGAAGGUAUAUAUAUUCAAGUGGAGGAAAUAGAACACACAUGCGAGAGAAUCACUUUCUGAGAGAGCUGAAGACUAUUUGAUGGACCACCAUAAAUUUCAUCAAAGGAAACAGAGCAGAGAAUUGACCAAUAACAAACAGCUGGAAAUGAAAGAACUGUG